GAUGAACGCUAGCUACAGGCUUAACACAUGCAAGUCGAGGGGAAGCGAUAUUGGAAGCUUGCUUCCGAUAGGCGUCGACCGGCGCACGGGUGAGUAACGCGUAUCCAACCUGCCCACCACUUGGGGAUAACCUUGCGAAAGUAAGACUAAUACCCAAUGACGUCCAUAGAAGACAUCUGAAAUGGAUUAAAGAUUUAUCGGUGAUGGAUGGGGAUGCGUCUGAUUAGCUUGUUGGCGGGGUAACGGCCCACCAAGGCGACGAUCAGUAGGGGUUCUGAGAGGAAGGUCCCCCACAUUGGAACUGAGACACGGUCCAAACUCCUACGGGAGGCAGCAGUGAGGAAUAUUGGUCAAUGGGCGAGAGCCUGAACCAGCCAAGUAGCGUGCAGGAUGACGGCCCUAUGGGUUGUAAACUGCUUUUAUAAGGGAAUAAAGUGAGCCUCGUGAGGCUUUUUGCAUGUACCUUAUGAAUAAGGACCGGCUAAUUCCGUGCCAGCAGCCGCAGUAA
rnacentral:rRNA from 1 species